rnacentral:lncRNA from 1 species
AAGAUUUCUUAGCCCGUGAGGAUUCUUGAGGAAUUAAGAAAUAAAGAAGAGGAAAACAGUGGUCUUGUGAUGGGAAGUGAAAAGUGGUAAAACGGGAGGCGAGGAAGCAACACGCAGCUAGCUAGAAAGAGAGAGAAAGCCCACUCUUUCUCUCUCUAAAAGGGAACUGGAAAGAAAACCCUCGUCUUCCUUUCUUUCUCUCUCUCUCUCUAGCUCCAGUUAUUGUGUAAGGCCUCUCUCAGCAUAUAUAGCAUACCAGCCAAGACUCAGCUUAAUACCACCAUUGAAACAGAUCCUAAUUCCUACAGGAUCUCUCUCUCUCUUUCUCUCUCUCUCUACAACACAGAAUCGAAAGCACCACCUCUCUCUCUCUCUGUCAAAAUCCAAAGCACAACAGAUGCCUACCAUGCCACCUGAAGAAACCACCUCCGCCAUAGCAAAAUGGCUCG